rnacentral:rRNA from 1 species
UACAGAGGGGGCAAGCGUUGUUCGGAAUUACUGGGCGUAAAGGGCGCGUAGGCGGCCCGCUAAGUCGAACGUGAAAUCCCCGAGCUCAACUCGGGAACUGCGUCCGAUACUGGCGGGCUUGAAUCCGGGAGAGGGAUGCGGAAUUCCAGGUGUAGCGGUGAAAUGCGUAGAGAUGUGGAGGAACACCAGUGGCGAAGGCGACUCUUGGCCUGUAACUGACACUGAGGCGCGAAAGCGUGGGGAGCAAACAGG